AGUGAACGCUGGCGGUAUGCCUAACACAUGCAAGUCGAACGGCAGCACAGUAAGAGCUUGCUCUUACGGGUGGCGAGUGGCGGACGGGUGAGGAAUACAUCGGAAUCUACUUUUUCGUGGGGGAUAACGUAGGGAAACUUACGCUAAUACCUCAUACGACCUACGGGUGAAAGCAGGGGAUCUUCGUACCUUGGCCUAUUGAAUGAGCCGAUGUCGGAUUAGCUAGUUGGCUGGGUAAGGGCCAACCAAGGCGACGAUCGGUAGCUGGCCGGCGAGGAUGAUCAGCAAAACUGGAACUGAGACACGGUCCAGCCUCCUCCGGGAGGCAGAAGUGGGGAAUAUUGGAAAAUGGCCGAAAGCCUGAUCCAGCCAUACCGCGUGGGUGAAGAAGGCCUUCGGGUUGUAAAGCCCGUUUGUUGGGAAAGAAAAGCAGCAGGUUAAUACCCCGCUCUUCUGACGGUACCCAAAGAAUAAGCAACGGCUAACUUCGUG
rnacentral:rRNA from 1 species